rnacentral:snoRNA from 1 species
GUGCCAUGAUGUUAAACUGUCAACACAUCAUUCUGAAGAAGAAUUGUGUGGAGACUUUGUAAACUGAGCCCC